ACGUAGGUGGCGAGCGUUAUCCGGAUUUACUGGGCGUAAAGGGUGUGCAGGCGGGCUGUUAAGUGGUGUAUGAAAUAUCCCGGCUCAACCGGGAGAGGUUAUGCCAGACUGGCGGUCUAGAGAGCGAGAGAGGGACGUGGAAUUCCGGGUGUAGUGGUGAAAUGCGUAGAGAUCCGGAGGAACCCCAGAGGCGAAGGCGGCGUCCUGGCUCGCAUCUGACGCUCAGACACGACAGCAUGGGGAGCGAACGGGA
rnacentral:rRNA from 1 species